rnacentral:rRNA from 1 species
CACGUAGGGUGCGAGCGUUGUCCGGAUUCAUUGGGCGUAAAGCGCUUUAAGGCGGUUCGGUAAGUCGGGUGUGAAACCUCCAGGCUCAACCUGGAGACGCCACUCGAUACUGCUGUGACUAGAGUUCGGUAGGGGAUCACGGAAUUCCUGGUGUAGCGGUGAAAUGCGCAGAUAUCAGGAGGAACACCGGUGGCGAAGGCGGUGAUCUGGGCCGACACUGACGCUGUAGAGCGAAAGCGUGGGGAGCGAACAGG